CGCACGGCUCCGCGCAGCCCCGCGGGCUCGGAGCGAACCCACUCCAGCUUCACCUUGUGCUGCCGGACGCGCUCCAGGAAGCCGGGCAUGGAGCCGGGGCGCGGUGGGAACAGCGGCUCCAGCGGCGGCUGCAGCGAUCUUCUUAUUGACAGACAGUUCAUACACAGGGAAUGAAAAAAUAUGCCCAGCAGUGUUAAAUUUGGCCCCGUUGUGCUUCCCAGUGAUUUGUCGUGUCAUUGUCUGAUGUUCACAGGAUAAUGGUAGGGUUUGAAAAAUCAAUUAAUAAUAACGUAAAGGAUUACAUUUGAAUUAAUUAGCCCAGGAUCAUAAAACUGUCUCUCACUUGUCCUCUAACGCACACUACAGGCCUCUUUCCCACGCCUCCCUCCCCAAAAAUGUGUGUUUCACGGAAAUAACAUCAAUUUAUGCUUGCUUUUCAUCUUCUCAUACUAUUUGGGGCAGGAAAAGAACAGACCCAGGGUUGUUCCAACAGGCUUUAAGGCUACGUCUUACAUACAAUUUUAAUUUUUUUCUUUUUUUGUAAUUUCUGUCUCUCGUAAUGAAAAUUUCCUGAAGCAUUAACACUUGUUUUUCCUGAUAUUAUUUUGACUUUAAAAACAGUAAGCAGUAAGAACUUCAUUUGUUAAAUUAACAUGCAAAGUCCUUGCAUUUUUAAACUAUUGUGAAACUAUCAGAACCGAUAAACUAAAUGGGUUUGAAAUUCAGCCAGUUUGGGAUAUGUCUUGAUGGGGAACACGGAAAACAUGAAUUCAGAGUAAUUUAGCUUCUGCUGUACUUUACACAAUAGAGGUGCCUUAGUGGAUUUCCACUUCCCCUCUUAUGGUAAUUUUAGUUGCCUAACUUCUUCUUCUCAUAAACUUGUGUAACGUUCUUGCUUUUUGGCUUUUUCAGGCCUCUUCUUUUCUCCCACAACCUUGGUAAUAUUUCCCAGAAAAACAACAACCCCAACUGCUUCCUUCACGGGUGACUGUAGGCAAUGGAGUUCAUGUAACCAGGUUGAAAAUAUAGAUUCCCCAAGGACAAAAAACAAAAGACUGGCAUAAAAAAAAUGUGAAAUUCCUGAGAUAAGAAAGAAUAAAACCCACGCAAUAAGCUUGGAACUAGCCAGGUCAAGACAACAGGAGAUGCAGAUGAGCACCCAUAUAAACUGAUUGACAUGAGGAGGACACAGUUCAGAAAUUUCGGUUGAAUUCAGCUCUUGCCAUCAUCAGGUAAAGCCUGAUGGUUCUUUAGCCUUGAAGAGAAGAAGAACACCAUAUAGAUGUGUGGAUAGUGGAGAAAAGGGUAGAAAGAGGCUUGAUAAAAAUGCAUACGCACUGUAAAUAAUUUCAGAGGUGAUCCUUGAGGAGCAGAGCUGAAGAGAGCCAUUUAUAGACUUCUUAAAAAUCAGAAUUAAAUGGUAUUUAAAUCAUCAAAAUGUCAACUCACCAGGUAAUCCUGAAGGUGCUAACAAUUUUUGCCCGCAGUUUCCCCCUGACACUUCAAGUUCUGGCACACACAUGGGCACCUCAGCCUUAUCUCUGUUGAGCACUGUCACUGUGUAAACUCCAUCAGGAUCCACAACAAAGGUAUUUCUCACUUUUUUCCUCCUGAACAUUCCCAAUGUAUUUUGCUGAAUCUACCAUGCAAAAUACGCAGCUGCUUUCUUUUUACUCUCCUGCUCACUUGCCUGGGGUGAAGCUGUGGGGACCCUUACCCACAUCUUUCACCUCUGCAGACAUCCUUUCUAGGUUGGUCUUCAUCUGAUGAUUUUAAGACAGACAUAGUAAAUAAAAGUUGUGAGCACUGAAAUUCAACAAACUUACAGACAGACAUUCCCUCAAAUACCCUGCAACCUUAUGCAUCCUUCUGUGAUGUGGAAAUUGUGAUGGGAAAAUCAAAAUGCGAAGUAUCAGACACCAUUGUUAAAAGGAAGUUCUUUUUUGGUUUUGCCCAGUGUAAAUAUUUGUACAUAGCAAAUGCUUAAAUCCUCAGAACUGAGAAAAGCACUGCCACAUGUACAGAAAAUACAGCUUAAUAUGUGCCGUGUUAUGCAUCCAAGCACCACCCCCUCUCUAUCUUUAUUUAGUUCACAAAAUUUUGAACAUGAAAGCUUAGAAGUCCAAUCUGUCUGUGUGUUUGCAGCACUAUACUAAGGGCAUCAUCCAAGGUUCUUUUCUAAAUAACACUGUCGAUAACAAAGCUGAUAAAGAAAUCAUUGGUGCUGACCGAACUAGACCCUUUGAAGACAUAACUAUUUUCUUUUGACUGGUAAAUAGUAUUUUUAUGGCAAGAUAAUUCUGAAGGCGUCAGCAGGGACAGAGCAGCUAUGGUGUAAAUUCUAGAGCUACACACUGUUGCUCUAUUAUAGGAUAAGAAAAGCAGAAGGUCUUACAUUACAAUUGGUGCCGACAGACUUAGGAAAUGGCACUUGGGCAUUGUUUUCAUUCCUACAGACUCCUCUGCCUUUCCGGAUUUAAAUAGCAUGGUCAUAGGAUAAAAGUUCAUCCCAAUAAUAUUUUUUUGACCCAUCUCUGCAUCUUCCAGCUGACAUACAACAUUUUAAAGACAGCCUCUCGUUCUGCCGAUGCAGCACUGAGUGACCCUGACAUUUCUGCCCUGCCAAACUGCAUUUAAAAUCCAUCUGAUGCCUGAGAAUUUCCAACUAACUGAGCAGAGAUGUUCGGUCCCCUCUUUUGUUAAGAUUUAAAUGAUUCAAAAAGCAAAAGGCAAAACUGCUUUAGGCAAUGAACUGGGAGCUUUCUUCUGCUGCAUUUAUUAAUUGUCUUGAUGCCAGGUAAUCUAGGAGAAAGCAGAUGCUGUGCUGGGGCAUUAGGCAGAACUACGAUGGAACCAUUAAUAGGGAGGUGUGUCUGAGUGCUGGGGCUUAUCCAAAGUGGCCACUGUCACAUGUCCACUUUAACUUUCCAGAACAGGUUUAUUUUUAGUAAUGAGAAUUGUAGGAAGAUAAAAUGGAUGUAAAGGCGAGGUGCGUUACAAUUACAUCAGCUUUCAAGAUGAAGUUGUGACUCAGAAUGUGAAUUGGAAAGGUCAGGUUCUACUUUUAUUUGUAUCUGUGCAGCUUUUCUGAAGCUGAGGAACUCUGUAGGUGUUGCAUUAGAGUAUCACCGGAGAGUUUAAUAAUCACAUCUGACUACAUGAAUCUGACAAUGGUAUUUACACUGACAGUUUGUAAGCCUUGCGUGAUACAGCCGUUCUGCACCCUUAUACUUUAAAAAUACCUUCCCACGCCAUUUCACAUUAAUGAUUAACUCAGACUUCAUUUAUUUCCCCGAGAAAAUCUUAGUCGCAUCUCAGAGAAGUGCCAGAUCAGAAUUAGGUAAUAUGCCUGAAGUAUAUAUCAAAAAUUAAGUAAUCUGUUAAAGAACAAUGGUAUCAACGUUCUGUACCAAAUCUUCACCUAACCAGGAUAUGCAGUCUUUAUCUAUCAAGAUGCAAAUCGUGUGCUGUACAGGGCUGUAUCAAGGACAUUUUAUGUCAAAAAAAGAUCAGUGAAUAAUUUCCAAAGGGCCGCACAUUCUGCUAAACAGAGCUGCGACACUUGGAAAGGUCGCUUUGUGGUUGGUUUUUGAUUUGUGGGUUUGGUUUCUAAAUAUUGGGAUCCAAAUGAAGAUGCAAUAUUAAGAAGAAAAUAGAAUUCUAAGAGUUCACCUCAGUUCAUGACCUUGUGAAUCUGCCAUACUAUAUGAUGAAGCUCUCACACAAUUUUAUUAGUUAAGCAUUAACCACCUCUGUUGACUCUAAGUGAUUGGCUUAAGACUUCUGGAGAGAACAUAAGCUAAAAAAAGCCCCAAGUAAGAAGACAGUGGAAAAGAAAAAAAUAAAACACAUAUACCUCAUUUUGUGGAGAAGACAAUAAAGAACAUUUAAAGUAUUUUUCUCGUAAAAAUAGUUCUGCUGUUUUUAAGAGGAUUGAAUGUUUUUAGUAAGGAUUAAGUAACAGCUAGCAAGACUAGGACUCUUUCAGUCCUUGAACUUUUAACACAGAUUUUCCUGCAAAUAUCUGAAUAAAUAGAUGUCCCUAAAAUCCUACCUUCUGGUAAGAGCACUUGUGGCUCAGUCUUCAUGCCAUAUUAUAAAAUAACCAUAGGACUGUUCCUUGCAGCUGCAGAUGGUCUCGGUAAUGCUAGCUAAUGAUUUUAAACAUAAAAAUACGCUCGUUGUAUGAUCGAUUUUCUUUUUUAUAUUUUUUAAUAUUUAAAGAUCCAUGGGACAGGCAGUGACUCAUUAUUUAAUUCCUUAUACUGUAAGAUCAAUUUGCCUCCUCAUUUUGUAUUGUUCUUUUCUUCACCUUGCUCACAGUCUUUCUUUCCUUUUCCACCUUUUUGGUCAGUUCACACCCCUUUUUCUCACAUACAUUACUCCCUUCCUGUUCCUGUUAGUAAACCGCUGUAUAGGCUUUCUCCUUCUGUUUGUCCCUUUCAGCACACUCCUCAUUUUUUCCUUCCAAGCUGCCUGGUUCUGUCACGUCUCCCAUUUGCCUUUCUUGGGCUGACCCUUCCCAGACACCUGCCCAUCAUUAGGCUUCAGAGUCCUUCCCCACCAGCCUGUGGCCAGCUUCUGGAUAUGAGGCUCUGCCGUACCCACAAAAAUGACAGGACCCACAGGAUAAUUUGAGGUCAGGAGGAACCUCAAGAGUUUCCCCGCAGUGCCCCACUCCCCAGGCAGCUCUCUCAGUGCUGACAGGCCUGACAGAGGAGUCAUAGAAUCAUAGAAUAGUUUGGGUCAGAAGGGAUCUUAAAGCCCAUGCAGUUCCAACCCCACUGCCAUGGGCAGGGACACCUCCCACUGGAUCAGGUUGCUCAAAGCCCCAUCCAACCUGGCCCUGAACACCUCCAGGGAUGGGGCAGCCACAGCUUCCCUGGGCAACCUGGGCCAGGGCCUCACCAUCUUCAUGGUAAAGAAAUUCUUCCUUGUGUCCAGUCUAAAUCUGCCCCUUUCCAGUGUAUACCCGUUGCCCCUCAUCCUAUCAGUCCAUGCUUCUGUGAACAGCCCCUCCCCAGCUUUCCUGCAGCCCCUUCAGGUACUGGAAGGUUGCUAUAAGAUCUCCGUGGAGCCUUCUCUUCUCCAGGCUGAACAACCCCAACUCUCUCAGCCUGUCCUCGUGUGGGAGGUGCUCCAGCCCUUGGAUCAUCCUUGUAGCCUCCUCUGGACCCACUCCAACAGCUCCAUGUCUUUCUUACAUUGAGGAUUCCAGAACUGGACACAAUAAUCCAGAUGAAGCUUCACAAGAGACGAACAGAGGGGCAGAAUCCCCUCCCUCACCCUGCUGGCCACGCUUUUCUUGGUGCAGCCCAGGACACAGUUGGCCCUCUGGGCUGUGAGCGCACAUUGCCGGCUUGUACUAGCUCAUAUGUGUCCCACCAUGCCCCUACGGCCCCUUGCGCCCUCCAUGCUGCCCAGGUAACAGCUGGGCACUGGAGCAGGAGGGCGACCCCCACCGCCUCGGCCCAUCGGGGAGCAAUGGCAGGCUCUCGAGAAAACAUUUGAUUGAGAUUUGGGGACUAUUUCCUAAUCUCUUUUACACCCAUGGUGGAGAAAAGACGUGAAGGAAAGUGUCCUGAGAUGCUGAAGGAGCAUGCAGUGUUUACCUGUCAAAAUGACCGUAUCAGCAGUUGGAUUAAUCUGUUCUCCUGGGAUAAAGCUGAGCCCUGAGGAGGGACUCAGUGUUGGUUUCUUCUCCCAAGUGAUAGGACAAGAGGGAAUGGCCUAAAGCUGCAUCAGGAAAAGUUUAGAUUGGACAUUAGGAAAAAUUUCUUCACAGAAAGGGUUAUCAAGCACUGGCAGAGGCUGCCCAGGGAGGUGGUUGAGUCACCUUCCUGGGAGGUGUUUAGUAGAUGAGGUGCUUGGGGACAUGAUUUAGUAGUAGACAGGUAUGGUUAGAGUUGACAGUCUCUAAGGUCUUUUCCAACCUGAUGAUUCUAUGAUUCUAUUAGUACCAAACCCCUCUGUAGCUUCUUUCUGCUCAGGAGGAGUUUUGCUAUGCAACCUUACAAAAGAUGGCCAGUGAGAAAUCACAGUUACUUGUUAUUUUAUACUCUAAAGAAAACACAAACAGCGUUGUGUUCUUUUACAUCAGCAAAGACUAUUUCUGACUACACUGUUCUUACAAUACUCUGGCUUGUGUUAGACUUAACAUGUUUCUCUGUUACAAGAUGCAAGGCUGGGCUAAAACUGAUCCACUUGCCUACUGCCAGCUGCAAAAACAAACCAAGAAAUCAAAGGCAAAUCAAACUCCCAACAAUUGCCAGUUUUGCUUAGACACCUUGCAAUCUAUUGACAACAGUACAGGACAAGAAGCCAAGACCACAACAAGCAAUCAAGGUCAGAAGGCGAGUUAAAUGUAGAUGCCACAGCUGAUACAGCUUCAGGAAAUGAAGAUUUCAACCCAUUUUAGUAAGUGGAGCUCUUGUCCUUCAGCAUAUGGUAUUAAAUGGAAACAACGAGUUACACCAUUCAAAUAUUUCAAGCUGAAAUGAAGAACCCACUAAUAAAAAGAACACUGUGAGAAACCUGGAAGAUGUGAAAAAUCCAGAAGCUGUAAGGCAUAAAGAGAUUAAUGUGCUUGAUGCAAACGACUCAGAAUUUUUUAAGUUUUCACAAAUACUUUCACUGGUGAAAGACGCCAUCCCCAGGGAUACUUCAGACCCUUCUUGGAAGAAUACAAAAGCCACUAUCUCUCAGCGGACGCUCAAUGGUACUUCAGCUGACACGGCUUCCUGCAGUCAUGAUGCUCGAGCAACAGAGCAGGAGGGUGAAAAAGGAGCUGACAUUGUGAAUGAAGUGAGGGGACGAAAAAUAGAAAUUCAUGAAUUGUCAUUCAUCUCAAGUCACACAAAGGCCUCAGUCCUGCAAGAAGAUCCCAAGCUUUUAUACUGGCACUGUGUUUCUACACCAGAGGGAAGUAUUGCAAGCAUUUCUAAUCCUAUUGCUUUUAAAAAGAACAGUCGGCAUGCCUGUAUGCAGAGUCCAUAUACAAAUCAAAACCAAUGUACAGAACACAAUGACAUCCAGGGCUCUUUAGCCAAUACUGUCAGGAAAAGGUAUAUUGAGGUCAAGGAAGGAAACAAAUCAGAAACGCUGGAGGUUCCUCUGCUUUCUGGACUGCCUUCCUUAUCAGUCAGCCACGUUGCAGGAGCUGCAGUGCCGUCCAGACUGACCUAACCCUUCUAUAUUGUAAUGUCAUGCUUUUUUUUAAAGCUUGUUAUACUGUGAGAAACAAAAAAUAAAAAUUUCCUUGUGAGCAAUAUGGAUAUUUGUUUUUUUGUAGAUGCUAUUAAUAGCAUUAUAAGCUGAUGAAUGCCAAUUACUUUCACGUAGGUUUCUUCCUGACCAUAAGACAGAUUCAUUAGAGCCUUAAAUAGCUUAUUCUGGGGAUGAAGUGCAACCUUUUCAUUUAGAUUCACUCUGAAUGACUACGGUAGCCUAGCAUGGUAAUUAGUUUUUUGAUGCUGCUGAGCACUGAAGAAUGCCUAACUUUAGGCACAUUCUUAAAUCCAUGCCUGCUCCGCAAAGCAUUUAAUAAUAUUCUUAACUUAAACAGUGCUAAAUCCUAUUGAGCUUCACAGACAAACAUUUGCAUACAUUCCUUGCUGAUUUGGCACCUGAAGAAAUGGAAAUGACCUGGAAAGCAGACAGCAGUGGGACUGUCAGUUAUUUAUAAUUAUUGUUUCUUACUCAUUCUAUAAAACGCAAGCUCUACAAAAGCAGCAUCCUUCACAAACAGCCCACGCGCGCAGAUUACUGCUACAGGACCUGCAGCAGAAGACGAGUAAAGCUGCUAAUGAAAGGCCUAGAACAUAAAGAAACCAAUACA